rnacentral:rRNA from 1 species
CCUACGGGAGGCAGCAGUGAGGAAUAUUGGUCAAUGGGCGCGAGCCUGAACCAGCCAAGUAGCGUGAAGGAUGACUGCCCUACGGGUUGUAAACUUCUUUUAAGGGGGAAGAGCAGAAGACGGUACCCCUUGACUACGCCACGGCUAACUACGUGCCACCAGCCGCGGUAAUACGUAGGUGGCAAGCGUUGUCCGGAUGUACUGGGUGUAAAGGGCGUGCAGCCGGAGAGACAAGUCAGAUGUGAAAUCCACGGGCUCAACCCGUGAACUGCAUUUGAAACUGUUUCCCUGGAGUGUCGGAGAGGUAAUCGGAAUUCCGUGGGUAGCGGUGAAAUGCGUAGAUAUAAGGAAGAACACCAGUGGCGAAGGCGGAUUACUGGACGAUAACUGACGGUGAGGCGCGAAAGCGUGGGGAGCAAACAGGAUUAGAUACCCUAGUAGUC